CACCUGAUAGCAUAAGGUGUGCAUCUGCUGGACUUGAGGAGGAAUCUGCAGGUUGUAAGCAGAAGGUCCCUGUUCGAUUCGGGGUCGGGUGA